GAUGAACGCUAGCGGCAGGCUUAAUACAUGCAAGUCGAGGGGUAACAUGGGGUAGCAAUACUCUGAUGACGACCGGCAAACGGGUGCGGAACACGUACGCAACUUUCCCAAAACUGGUGAAUAGCCCUCCGAAAGGAGGAUUAAUACACCGUAACAUAUAGAGGUGGCAUCGCCUUUAUAUUAUAGCUCCGGCGGUUUUGGAUGGGCGUGCGCCUGAUUAGGUAGUUGGUGUGGUAACGGCUCACCAAGCCUACGAUCAGUAACUGGUGUGAGAGCACGACCAGUCACACGGGCACUGAGACACGGGCCCGACUCCUACGGGAGGCAGCAGUAAGGAAUAUUGGUCAAUGGACGAAAGUCUGAACCAGCCAUGCCGCGUGAAGGAUGAAGGCCCUCUGGGUUGUAAACUUCUUUUAUAGGGGACGAAAAAAGGGAAUUCCUUCCCACUUGACGGUACCCUAGGAAUAAGC
rnacentral:rRNA from 1 species